GAGACAGCAGUAGCCCGGGAACACGAAGGGGGCUAGCGUUGCUCGGAAUUACUGGGCGUAAAGCGCGCGUAGGCGGUUACUCAAGUCAGAGGUGAAAGCCCGGGGCUCAACCCCGGAACUGCCUUUGAAACUAGGUGACUAGAAUCUUGGAGAGGUCAGUGGAAUUCCGAGUGUAGAGGUGAAAUUCGUAGAUAUUCGGAAGAACACCAGUGGCGAAGGCGACUGACUGGACAAGUAUUGACGCUGAGGUGCGAAAGCGUGGGGAGCAAACAGGAUUAGAUACCCCUGUAGUCCCUGUCUCUUAUACA
rnacentral:rRNA from 1 species